ACAAAGCAAACAAACCAGAAAACAACAACAAAAAAACCCCAACAACACCCAUAUUCUCUUUUUUAUGUGGCAGUUGUACAAUGCUAAUUGCCAAGAUAUGAUCAGAAAGUUGCUGUUAAUUUUCUUAAAAAAAAAUUUAAAGACAGACAUUUGGAAUUGCAAGGUGGAAUUGAUUACCUGGCCCUUAAUUAUUUUGAAGACAAGAAUCCACUUAUACGAUGUACCCAAAGAUCAGUGUCUCUCAUUUUACUCAGAGUGAUGAGUCUGUGGAGAGACCACUUUGACUCUUGCUAUUUUAGUAUUUAAAAAGGAGUACCAGAAUACAACUCUUAAGACCAGUAUCUUUCUUACUACCAUUUUAAGCCAAUCUUUGGGCUUUAGCACCACGCACUUUUACGAAAACUACCUAAGCCUUCUAAUUCUUAAAUUUCUUCAUCUUGAGCACCAGCUCAGGAUUGCCAUAGAAGGAUUAAAUAAGAGGACAUGUGCUGAGGAGCUUUUGAAAAUUAAAGGCCACCUCAUUAGAUUAUUAUAUAAAAUGCACUGUUUAAUUCUGCUAGUAAUUUAAAGUAGUUUGAAAAAGCACCCUAGAGUGAGGGGCCCUGUUUCCCCAUCUUACAAGAAAAAUAAGCCAAGAUCUAAUCAUUUUUCUGAGCAUAAACUUCAACAAUGAGAUGGCUGCCUAGUAAAAACAAUAUCCCAGCCUCUAGUAUACAGAGUGGUGACUAAAUAUAUUAAUAUGAAACUUUUGAAGCAAAUAACUAGUCAUCACAACAGCAGUUCCUCCUAGUCACUGAUAAAGAAUACUAUUACUCUGAGAAGGAUGUCAAAAGAUCUGCCCGUGUGAGUGCAGUUUGCACUACGACCUCUUUGGACAGCUGUAAGAAGAGAUUCUGGCUGUUUACAAUACUGAAUGAAUUUGGAGCUGGUUCUGUACGUGACUCAAGAGGAAGAAUAACUCCUUUUAUAUGGCCACAUUGAUGACUGCUAGAGAACAUCGAAAGGACAUUCAGAGCAUGUGAGAUUUGAGGACUGCAAGCAGCUUAAAGAAGCUACACAUUCAGCAGACCUUCCCUUUUGAGAGUCUGGACAAGCACCAGAUGUUCCUCAGAAGAACAGGCUUGUUGCUUUGCAGUGUUAGUGACCUUUUCCCUUUGACGAUCCCCAGGUGGAGAUGGGGCAUGAGGAUCCUCCAGGGGAAAAGUUCACUGCCACUGGGCAACAACCCUGGGUCAGGAGAUUUUACUAAGAUUCUUUCCUGGGUCCAGAUAGGAGGGUGAAGACUCAAAGACAACCACCGCACAUCAAGAUGGGAGAACAUGGACAGCAACUACCACUGCAACAACACUGAUCUCAUAAGCAAAUCAUUCUGUUCCAUGUGGUCCUCAAAAUCUCCUUUGAAGCUUUACAGGGGAACUGUGCCAGGCAUUCACAGACUUCAAGAUGCCUUGGGAUAUCCAUGGGAUGUAACACACAAUCAGUGGUUUGAGAAGAUAAAAGAGAACUGUAUCUCUGUAUGCUAUGCAUGCGGAUUGGCAGAAGACUCAUAAGUACAACUGGAAACCUGACCAAAAAUGGUAUAGGGUUAUCUCACAUUGGGCAGCAUCUACAGAACCAGGACCCUACACUCUCUAGCUCUCGAUUGAUAAUAUCUGACAAACCAUUAUCCUUCCCAAAAGCAGUACAGAGAGCUGGAUCAUCAUCAGGAUUAAGAAAUGAGAACACAUCAAAGGGAGCCAAGUUUUCUACCUGAAGAUCAACAUGCCUGACACUAGCAUUUCAGAAUAGCAGAAGUAAGCAAGCUGUUGGGGUUGCAAUCCUUCCUUCUUAGUCUCCUCCUGUGAUGGUCUGCCUUUGUUUAUCUCUUUCGCUCCUAAGUGUGCAUUUCUUUGCUUGUCUAUUUCUUCCUUGCUCUUUCUUCUCUAACUCGAGUUGUGUCUGAAUCAGCUCCAUGUUUCUCUUGCUAAUUUCUUCUGUGUGUGCCUUGUCUCACUUUCUUUUUUUGUUCCUAAGUGUGGUCUAUGCACUGUCUUAAAUGGAUCUCUCUAGUUUUUGUUUGCUUGCUAUUGCUCUUCGCUCUCCUAGAUCUAUCUCUCUCUCUCUUUCUUUUCUUCCUUUUUUCCUCUUUGAGGUCAUAUGCUUUGUGCUUUUUUGCCCUUUUCUUAUUGUGCCUACCUUGCUUUUUGUCUUGGUGCACUAUGUAUUUGUCUUUUUGUCUUGGUGCACUUGGUAUUUGUUACUUUCUCUCCUUUUUGUAAGUUGGACAAUUCACCUUUUUCUGAUUCUGGUGUCCAUUCUGCUCCUUAUCUCACAUUUCUCUUUGUUAUAUUUCCUCUCUGCCUCUCUAGUGCUAUUUUCUCCCUUUUCGCUCCUGUGUAUACCUCAGUGUCUCUUUGUUUGUGAUUUUCUAUUUCAGCAUUACUCUGUUUGCUUGUGUGUCCUCUCUACUUUUUCCUUUUCUACUCAUCUUUUUCAUCUUUUGAGUAUUUCAGCCUCUUUGUGAGUCUAUGUUUCCCUCUCUCUGACUUCAUGUAAUCCUCUCUUGGCUAUUUCUUUGUGUAUACGGGCUAUGUGCAUAUGUGUGCAUGCUUCCUAUGUGUGGCAGAGGGGCUUCCUAACCCUUUCCCAAUAGGUUCAGAAUGUCAGCUAUCAAAAUCAGCAUUGCAGAGCUGUUCCUUGUGCCAAGCUGCCCUGUGAGAUGAUCCAAUACCAAAAUAUGGUCCUGGAAUCCAGAUUGAAGUUAAAACCCAAAACCUAAGAUGGACAAAAGGUAGAAGCCCCAAAGUGGAAGACAGGUGGUUUGAAACUUGAGACUCAGGACUAAGAUGAAAAGCCCAUGUCUCAAGAUAGAUGGAAGUCUCAAGUCUGACAUAAGACCAAGGUCUUAGGUUUGAGGAUUUAAGACCCACGGGUGGAAGACCCCACACCCAAAUAAGAGCAAGGAUUCAAGCCUCCUUACAUGGACGGAAGGCCUAAGAGAAACAGAUCCCUCAAGAAUAAAACCUGGAAACUGGAGGUUCCAGGUUUCUGAUCUGGAACUCAGGAAGGACAGAAACCUCAACACUGGGGAAAUACCAAGAUGAGGACCCUAAACCACAAAUCUUUUUCUAUUGCUAUUCUGCCCACUAUUGGGACAUUUUCAAUAAUCCCCUUCCAGAUAUCUUA